UGUCUCAAUUCAGGGUCUGCAUCCUACCUCGGCCGGAUUCGUCGGCCGGUUACGUCACAGCGCCGCGACUCGGCCUGUCCCAAUUCGAAGACUCCUUCAAAUGCGGUCGACGAAUGCGGCCUUCUUUUCGCCUGAAUGAAGGAUGGGUCGGGUGUAUCCUUCAAUAGGUAGCAUUUCCCAAGAUGCCUUGCGGGCCGGCCGGCAGAAAAACUUAAAAACAAUGGCGGACAGUGAAGCGGGAGCUGUCGGAGAGGAUUGCGCAUAUAAAUGACCAAAAGAGAAAACCAGGGAAUUUAUUAAGCUUAGGGCGGAGAUGGACCACAUGAUCACCGGAGCAAAGUAUUCGGCGGCUGUGGCAUGGAGACUAUUCUGGAGAAAAUGGGCAUCCAGGGGAAGGUGCCAGCAAUGAGCUUCUGGAGCUGAUCUGGGAGGACUUGAGGCUGCAGAGGGAGGCAGAGCAGCAGAGAGCACAGGAGAGAAGGAAGAACUUUGACAGCUUUUUACUUUGCUAGAAAAAAAUGGUUAAUGAAGAUUAAACAUGUACAUGUAAAAGAAAUAUCUAAAUAAAAUCAGUUCUGCAUUAAA